UAUUCCAGUACUUAACUAACCUUUCUGUAAAGAAGGGUUUCCUAAUAUCCAACCUAAACUUGCCCUGGCGCAACUUGAGGCCAUAAUAAGCAAACCAAAGUGCAUAGGAAAUUUCAAGAAGAACAUACUGAGAAUUUCAGUUUUGUUUGAGGAGUUUGCUGAAAAAUAAUAUUAGUAUGAAUGAAUUUAUCUUUUCUGGCAAUCAGCAGCCCUUGAAGCAGCAGCACUAGACUUUCCUAACCACUAAGUCCCAUCUGCCUGGUCACGCAAGGAUCACCUCCUUAGACGGAUGCACAUUUCUCUCCUUAAGUUUUAACAGUAUCUUUUAACACUGGAGUGCAAGUGUGUUUUGCACUGUAUUACUCAUUAGCCUGCAGCUGGAAAUGGAGUUAAGGCAAUGAUUAGUUUCAUACCAGACAAUGGAUGCCAGGAUCUGGUCUGUUUAUUGCUGGGAAAACUGAAAGGCUGCACAAUUACUCUAAAUAUAGAUUUGAGGAAAUGAAGCAGUGCCUAAACAUUGCUGAAUUUUUGGCCAGUAUACCCAUUCCCACCUAACAAUUUUGGUUAAUACCACCAAAGACUAACAUUUAACUCAGAAUACACGGGCAGUCUCCUCAGAAAUCUCUUUCCAUUCUCAUUCAUUGAUAUUCCGUAAGUGCCUGUGAACUCUAAAUUGCCUACAGGGAGCUCUUCCUGGAAAAACACGUGGCUGUUUAACACAUUAUCAUUUCUCAUCGAAACCAGACAGAACACGACAGCCUUACUUGAAUUCACAUUUAAGGUCAAAGCAACAGAACCCUCAAUUUGAAUAUUUCACACGCUUACUUGGGCUGCAAUUUGUAUCAGCAAGAUCAGACACACAGAAAAUUGUUCAGACUCUGUUGAUUCCAAGAUCUUGGGCCUUCUCUCUCUCUGGAGCACCCACCCCUAAUCAUCACCCCACAUUAACCUUCCAAUGAGCCACACACCUGCCUCCUCACACAGCUGCAUAUAAUAAGAAGGUUUUCACAUCACCAUGUAGGAGAGUCUGCUCCUUUAUUUGUAAGGAAAUAAAAAUACUGUAUAUUUUAAAACAUUUUCUUAGCAAUAACAGAAUCUUGCUAAUUUUGUACUACAGUUUUGCUAUUUGAUUUUUUCUCCCUAUUGUUGCUAGCACAAAUUUAGUCUCUGCAAUGCAGGCAGCUCCCAAAAUGCCCAUAAUUUGCACUCCUUAGCUUUGUUGUGAACUGCCAUACAUGUCAAGGUGUUUGACAUGACGAGAAGACAAUGUCAUACAUGCUUCAUAACUAAUGAGUCCUUUCUUUAGAACCAAGACCAGAAUUCAGGCCCCCCUCCCACAUCCCUCCAUUACAGCUAUAAAUCUAUUUGCCAAGAACAGAUCUGGAUAUACAUUUCCUUAAAGGGGACAAAAGUAUUGCACAAGAAUGUAAGGUGUCCUUGCACGAGCCACACUGUCAUAAGUGAAAACAUGCAGUGUUGCAGUUCAAAUAGAGCGAGAGGCCCCUCUGCCUUCAGCAAGAGCAGGUUGUGGCCUGACACAACAGAGAGCAAAACAGAUGGACCUGGACUUCAAAUGGCUUCUUCAUGAAGCACAACAGCUGUACCUAAAUUUGGGAGAAUCAGCCUGGCAACAAAACAGGAGUACUAAGAAGUAGAUCUUAAUUAGCCAAAUGAAAUAAGUGCUCAAGGGCAAGAUGUGUUUACCAUGUGAGGAUGCAAAACUAUGUACCAUGCAAUAUUGACUGAACUAAAUUAACUGAACACUAAGCAGCAGGACCUGUGUUGCUAAUGUUUACAUAAUGUGCUUAUAAAUACUGUUCUCUUUUUAACUUUGUAAAGUAACAUGUCAGAAAAACACAUCCCAUAUUAUGGUUCAGAAGGACAUGCCAUACACUGUGUAGGGGAUUCCAAAUGAGAAAGGAAGAGCAGCAAAGGAAGGGGUGGAAAGACAAAAACUCUACACAAAACAUGCUCCACUGAAAGCAUGCUACCUUCACCUGGUUAGUGUGAAGGUGUGACAAACCCCUUCAGAUAGCAAAAGAAGUGCCUGGGGAAGCUGUUCACUCUUGAAAACUGAGCAGACCCUUGAGUUCUCAGGUGCACUGCUGCUGAAGCUGAGAAGAUAGUUAGAAGCACAUAGAAAUUAAUGUCUGAAGGCUGUGCUUAUCAGGGCUGAUUGGCAACUAGCAAGUGGGUAUAUGUAUGUGUUACACAUACAAUUACACAAUUAUCCAGUCUGCACAAGUAGAAACUGUCCAGUGGUGAAUUAGUCUGGGGCACAUAUUGCACAUUUGCUUAGUUUAAGUAGUUUAAAAAGCAAUAUAAUUGUUGCUAGUUUUGGGACAGUAAGUCAUCAAAAUGCUUCGAGUUACAUCACUGAUUCUGCUUGCUAAAUUACUCACAUAUAGAAAACCAGCUUUUUGGUGUCAUUUUGGUCAUUGCGUUACUGUGGACAGGUUACUUAUUACUACACAAAAUACAUGGACAGGAACAAGAUUUCCCAUUCACAAUAUAAUUAUAUGCAAUUAUAUGAAGAUUUGUAGAGUUAGAGGCUCUCAAUGUUAGGCUAAAAGUCAACACUCUGUUGAUGAAUUAAAAAGAUGAGUUAUAAAGGUGAGACACCAGACAGUCCAAUAUGGAAGUGGUGGAACAUAUCACAGAUGAUUUAUUUAUUUAAAGUCUGUCUUGCCAGGAAUCACCUUGUCUCUGGCAGUGGCCAAUAACACAUCUAUGAAGUCAGAACAGAAAUUUCUCCAAUCUGUAAUUUCAAGUCAGAAAUAUUAGCGCUGUAUUUCAAAACCUAGGCCGAUUUUUAUGAAUAUAUGAUCACUUCUGAACAAACAAACUUUCAACAGCACAUCACCUCAUGCAAUGAGUUUUGCAGAGCGUCUGCACAUUGCUUUUCCCUUAUUUUUCCAAACCAGCCUUUAGGCAAAUCCAUUUGUUAUCCUCUUGUUCCAGAGGCAUAAGAGAUUGCAAAUAAUAAUUUCCUGUUCAACCUUGCUAACUUACAGACCCAUGAGCUACCAUCACAAAAUUCCCUCAGUCCACUCAUAUGUGCCCCAGGCUGAAGAAUCAAGACUGAAUCAGUCCUCCCUUCCAUGAAACUGUCCUCAGUCAUCCUAGUGGCCUUUCCUUGCAUCCAAUUUCAUACACCAAGAAAGAAAACAGCAUUUAAUAGUCAAGAUAUAACACAAAGUGCAUUAGAAAUCAUAGGAAUAUGUAAACAAAAAAUUUGGCAUUUGCUCCCCAUGUCUUUCCUAGUAAUUUCUGGGUUUGAUUGUUUAUAGCUAACGAGAAUGAGAUUUUUAACACAAGUCUGACAACUUGAAUGACUCUUCCAGAAGCCUUGAAGAGGCUCUGAAAUGUUUCCAUCUAUUAAGACUGCAGUAACACAGAGGAGUCCUGCUGUGUUACCCAUUAAAGAGAUAUUAAGCAAAACCAAACAAUUCUUCUCCAAAAGGAUUUCCAACCUUGAAUCAAGUCUCAAUGGCAAAUGAGAUGUAAAACAUUAAAGGGACAAAAAAAAAAAAAAAAGACAGCAAGUAGCAGUGAAUCAGUAUUAAAGGUGUUUGCAAAGAGAGGUGAGGCUAUAAUUCACUUCCUGAACUAGAUUAGGAUGCUGCAAGAGUGACUUUAUGCAGUAAAAACAUUUAUUUUAUGCUUCUACUGGAUGGGAAGCAAUGUCUCCAACUGGGAUGGAAGAGAUUCUCCCAUAUGUUGAAUUUAUUUUUACUUGAGAAACCCUCUUAAAUAACAGACAGUCUGUAGUACUGCAGCAACUAUUCAUUUGGGUCAGUACUCGUUAGGCUAUAUUCUGACUCAUGUCCCUGGUUACAAUCUGCCAUCUGCCUACAGAAAGUAGAAGGCUGCUUUCCCUCAGGCCAGCCUGUAUUCCUCAGUGAAACUCACCAGGAAAAUAAAAGAUCAGUUAUAAACAACUGCCCUAAUACAGCAACAGGAAGCCAUUCCAAGCAAUUCUACCACCCAGACAUUAACUGGUAAUAUUGCUUUCCAAAGAUGAUCUUCAGAUAUAUGGCGCUGCCAUUCCACACUGGGUUUAGGUUGAAAUGAUCAGUUUGCCAUUGUUUGGAUCACCUUAGCAGUGUGCAGAAAAAAAAGAUGCAUUAUCUUCUUAAAUAUAGUCACAGGAAAACUAAUAAUAUGAAACAAGAAUAAUUAUACUGUAAAAAUGCACUCGGCAACCACGACUGAGUUGUUAGGAAAGAGAUGAUCAGGCAGUGGUUGAAGGGUGGGUUGAAGCCUCAUAUCCUUACACAAGACUGAAGGCCUAGGGCACACAGCCUGGAAUAUUCUUUAGAAAUGAGCUAUUAGAAGCAGUUCCCUAAGGAAGAGAGAUUCUGUUGCUUGGUGUUUCAGAGCCACAUUCCUUGGAGAAUCAAACAGAAAAAGCGUCUCCAUUUGUACAGCGCUGGGGAAUUUGGUAAUAUGAGUACAAGCAUGAUUUUAUUUGUGAAGUUAAUGUAAUAUAAAUCUUUAUUUAUCCCAGAGGUAUUUGAGAGGUAAGAGCUGGAGUGGAAAAUAGAACAGCCUGGUGACAUUAACAAGUAAUACACCGUUAACCUCUGCUAUAUCACAAUGUCAGCAACAUUUCUAAAACUUCUUUUCUGCAAUCAGCAAGAUUUAUAUAUAACCUACUUAUUGCUACGCUUGAAGCCAGUUACUUUCUAGACUUGUGGUACUUCUGCAUAAGUGUUUUCACUCAAGCUCUCAGCUGCUGGUCGAGAAGCAAACAAAAUUAAGCACUUACACAUCAAAGACUGCAUUGCCAUUCCUAGACAUUAUUUUCUAGGAAGCAGAAAUUUAAUAUCAAGUUGAGCAAUAGAACAUAUUUUCAUAGAAUCAUAAAAUCUUUUGAGUUGAAAGAGAUGCUUAAAGGCCACCCAGUCCAACUUCCCCUGUAGUGAACAGGGACACCUACAGCUACAUCAGGUUGCUCAGAGCUCCAUUCAGCCUCACCUUGAACUACUCCAGCAUAGAGCAUCCACUACUCCUCUGGACAACCUGUUCCAGUGCCUCACCACCCUUACUGUAAAAAAAAAACUUCUUCCUUACUGUAAAAAAAACUUCUUCCUUAUAUCCAGCAAAAAUCUCAUUUCCUUUAGUUUGAAAACACUUCUACUUGUCCUGUCACAACAUAUCCCACUAAAGAGUCUGUUCCCUUCUUUCUUAUAGUCCCCCUCCUUUAGGUGCUGAAAGGUUCCUACCCUCUUUCCCCGGAUCUUAUUUAAACCAAACCCAAGUGGCAUUUCAGUGGUUUUGAAGAAUGCAGCAAGCAAACAUCGGCUUAAAUAAUUUUCAUGGAAGGUUUUUUAAUAAUAGGGAAAAAAAAAAAAAAAAAAAAAAAGAGGGGAAAACAACCAAACCAACCAUUAUCUGUGAUUAAAGAGGUAUCAAGGUGGGAGGACGGCGGGGAUCUGAGGACACCGGGCCGGAGGCAGAGCUCCGCGGGGAGCGGACCCCCCCUAGUGGUCGGUGGGGACCCUCGUCGACCACGCUCUGGAGGAACGCACCGCGCUGAACGACAUCAUCUCCAGUCUGAUUUCUCUAGCUAGAAAUGACAUCACCAGUACACAUAUAUGGUCGAGUUCCUAACUCUGCAGAGGCUUCUGGUGCUACGGUUUGUGCCACUAUCACAUUUCCUAAAACUUUAAGUUCAAACUCCUUCUAUUUAAUCUGUGCUACAUGAUUUAAGCCUGGAUGUAAUUCACACCUGAAGGAAAAAUCUAAAAUUAGAUGCUUUUCUCUCUUUUUAGAUGUCUUUCUUUUUGAAAUAGAUUGGAAAUACUCCAUGUUAACUGCAGAUCAGCAACGGCAUGGUCUCAUUAAAAUAUAAAAUGAUGUAUGAAUACCAAAGGGGUACCUAUAGCUCAGGCAGAGUCAGGGUAUAGGACAGGUUUUCAUCCUAUCACUUUCUGUUCAUGUAAAUAGUUGAUUGCCCUCAAGUUUAUAAUCUUCUUUUAAAUACUGGAAGCCUGUAAUGAGGUUUUUCCCUCCCUCUUCUCCAGACUGAAUAAGUCCAGCUCCUUAAGCCUGAACACAAAGAAAGCAAAGUGGCUUCUGCAGAGCAGAAAUUUCAUACACGAGACUGAACUCCUUAUCAUGCUCCUUCCACUAUUUAAGCUAAGUAAUUAACCUGAAAAAAAUAAUAAUUAAAAAAAAAAUCAGUAGCCAAAUUAUGCCCCUGUUUUAGAUGGAUAAACCACUGAUGAUAUUGAAUCUUACUGGAACAGAGGAGAGUCUGCAGUAACUGGAGUUAGUAACAUUGCACUCCCACAAUUUUCUAUCAUUGAUUACAAGAUAAUAUCAAAGAGAGCAGAGCUUACAACAGGUAAGCAUCAGCUAGUUUAAAAAGCUUCUCUAGCCCAGAAAUAGCGUUGUCUAACUUUUCUUAGGCAUCAGUCAUUGUGUGGCUUCAUUCUUUCAGGAGCAUAUCCUCAGUUAUCACUUAGCUUCCAGCUUAAGAGAAAUAUUGAUUACUUCAUUCUGCAAACACAUAUGCCUUCCACGUUGACCACAGUUCUGACACAGGUAUCAUUUUGGAUCAAUUAUGAUGCCCCUCUGCAUCCAGAGUUGCUCUUGGAAUCACAACUGUACUGACCAUGACCACCAUUCAGCACCCAUCUCAUUGAUGUAUGCUUUGUUCAGUCUUCAGCUGAAGACAGAGUAAGAAACUACAGAACAUGUAAACAACAAUUCAGAACACACAUUUCUUUGCAGUGCAGAGAAAGCGAAAGGAGAACGUCAAACGUUUCCCAUUUCCACUUGUAAGGUUGAAUGAUAUGAAGAUGGUAACAAAGAUGAUGGCAAAUAUUCAAAAGGUUAUUUGUAAAGGAAAACUCACCAAUAUCAAUGCCUUGGCUGGAAAAGCUGGGGCAAUCUCCACCAGAGAACAAUCUCCAAGAGAUGCUGCCUUGGUGGUGGUCAGCCCUUAAAUGAGGUCUUAGAGGAGGUGGAGUCAAGCUCCGCCCCUUCCAGGAGCACAGCUAAAUUACUCUCACCUGUGCUCCCACAGCUGACCCAACACUUACCUCAGCUGAUUAAUCAGAGGUUCAGGCUGUGAUUACCAAUUUCCCAUACACCACUGUAAAGAUGGACUUAGGUAAAGAAGAUGGUCCAGAAUAAACAUUUGUUAUACAGUUCACUUUUAUGCACUAAAAGCUCACCAAAAGAAGAAAGCAAAGAGAGGUGUUGUUUCUUCAGUGAGUCUCAAACAAAGCCUACCCACAGAAUUCUCAAGAAUUCAAGAAGUCUACCAGAUUAUAACAGCUCUCACAGAUGUUAGGAUUUUUUCCUCAGACUAAAUUCGAGCAGAUCACAUCUACUCUUCCUUCUACGUAUAUUUAUUAAAAUAAAAAUAAAAAGACAAACUUCAGGAAGUCAUUCAACUGGUAUUUUCUUUACAAGGAAAAAGUUAAACUUACCAGUAUGUCACUGAGCACUUGAAGACUUCUGUAAACCUAUUCCAGUUUCUCCCAGAUUUCAGAAAAAAAACUUUUUCUUAGUUGUAUUUGACCUGGUCUGACUCAGUGAAAAAUACAUAUUGUACUGAGCCAAAACAAAUCCUUUGUGUUCUCUUUCUGAAUGUGUGUUCCUAUCCAAACUAUCCAUGCUUCUGUACUGUUACUGAGGUUAUCACUUUUUGGACUAAAUGUUUGAGCUCUCUGUUCAGACCAAAGAAUAAGACCAACACAGAAUGUUCUUACCAGGUCACACCACUGCAGCUAAGCACCCCAUUGUCAGUCAUAGCAAAAUCAUGAGCCCAUUUAAAGUCCUUGCCUUCAUUUGCCUCCUGGUUUAGUACACAAGAUACUCUAUUACAACAGUUGCAAAAUUCAGCUCAGGUUUACAGCAGUCUCUAAGGCCACAGAAUAGUAUCCUGCAUAGAGCAGAGGAGAUAUGGAUCAUUGUUUCCAUUAUGGAUUGUCCUGUGCAGAUACUGUCAAUCUGUUUCUAUAGAAAAUAAGGAAGGAGAAAAACAAGAUCACAAACCUGAACCAGCCUCUUUCACAGCUCUUAUGCUAACCCAGUCUAGGUGAAACAAAGCACAGGUGUUCACAAUGUGUUGGCUAUGUGGGUACCAGUACACACACCUGAGUUGGGAUAAGACAGUCACAGCACAGGUGAAGAUACUGUUUCCAUCUGACACGUAUCCUCCCAGCUGAAAGAGUUUGACUUCUUUCACCAGAUAAUCAAAACUCCAGGUACGUGAGGAAAAGAGGAAACUGAUCUGGAUACCAGCACAGAAACUGAUAUCAUCCUGCUGUUCUGUAUGUAGAGCACUACAGACUGAAGAGGGUGAAAAUAAGGCCACUCUAGUUUUACAAUACAUAGUAUUUUAUAUUUUAAUACACAGUAAAAUAUAUAUAUAUAUAUAUAAAACAAGCUUUCUGUUUAUAAAAUUUAGAAACUGCGUCUAUCUCCUGGUCUGUUUGUCAAAGGAAGAUGUCACAAAGGAAAUGAAUGUAAUUAUGGAUAAAUAGGACUCAUCUCUGACCUGGUCGGUAACAUUAUCCAUGGGUCUCUAGCAUAGCCCUUCUCUGCCAUACUGCUGCCAGCACAUUCAGCCUGAAGUCCAUGCUAAAUUAGCACAGAAUAAACAUUACGGAUAUUUCAGGAAGUCACAUUUACGCACACUUUUAAAAGGCAAAAAUUAUGUGAUUUUUGAUGCCUCUGGUGUUUGUAAGCCUCUUUGCCCUGAAUUGCAAAGCUUGCAAUUCAAAGUCUGAAUUGCUUCACAAUGUGCACAACUCAACCCACCUAAAAUGAUUUAAAUAAAACCCAUUUAAAAAAUAAUAAUAGGAUAAUUCAUAACACUUAGUUUAGGAACUCAUACAUUGCCUGGCUUGUAAUAAACUGUCAGUGCAUAUUAGUUUGAGAAAAAUCUCUGUGAAUCAAUUUAAAUUGUAAGCACUUACAUGUUGUCUUCACAAGAGAGAAGCGAUAAUACUGCCUAACGAUGCUUGCACUGCUGUCACCACUGUUACAGCACUAAAUUAGCUUACACAUUAGAUUAUGCAAUCAAACACAGCUCAUGAAGCUAUUCAGUAAAACUGAUGAGAAAAGACUGACCCAUCAAUGACUUCUCAGAAUUAAUAUAUAUAUGUGUGUAUAUAAUUUUACAUGGCAGUCUUAGACCUUUGCUUUUUCAACAGAAAAUGUCAGAAUAUGAGAGUCAUUUAUAGCUAAAGGAUUCCUCUGGAGAGCAGGAAACCCUAGCUUAGAACAUCUUCCUGGUUAAAUUAAAAGACUUGACCUGAAAAGUAGAACCUGGGUUCUACUUUUAUCUACCCAUAUCUCAAAUAAACACUGCAAACACCACACUGCUCUGGGACCAGCUGGCUUCCCUAUCCCAAAAUAUGCAAAGUGGUGAGAACUGUGACAUUCCCAGCGAUUGCUCAUUUCACUGUGUUGUAAAUAAUCACUUGCUAAACCUGAGUGAAUGUUAUGUCUGUGGCAACUUCACUUCUCCCUUCUAGAAUGCUUUUUACAGACAUCCCCCUCACUUCUUCAUUUUUCAGUGAGCAAGGACUCAGAGUGGCACAGUGUAUAUGUUCCAGUCUUAUCCUGCACCAUUUCCGCCCCCCUCCCAGUGAUGGGAAGGAGCAUCACAUACUGCCUCCUACUGCCUUCUUUUAUUACAAAUAUGUAAUGAAGACCUUCAUCCAAAGAUGAGUGAAAAAGUAAACCCUCUGUAGAAUGCAGCCAUUUACAUUUUCUCAAGUACAUAGAACAAUGUAACAAACAAUAUCACAAAGAAACAUAUUUGAAAUAACAGCUUCUGGUAACAACACAAAAAAAUGCAAAUACUUGUAAGAUUUCCUUAAGUAAAAUGGAUUAUUAGUCUGUCUGCAGAUGAGCAAAUUAACAGUAUGCUGUGAGGAGCAGAGAUUUCCAUCUCUACCACAGAUUCAUUCUCCAGAAUUGACUUUCAUCAUAAGAUUUUUAUGCUAAUUGACAUAAUGCACCUACAAUGUUCUUCAUACAAUGAACCCACCAUUACAAAAACUCUUUUUGAAACUAACCCACAACACUAAAACUGUAUGAAAAUGACAGAGACUGGAACAUUUUAUUUUCACCAUCUAUGUGUCAGACAGCUUGGGCUGGCUGAGGAACCUAACUGAUAUUUCUUCCUU